rnacentral:lncRNA from 1 species
GCUAAUUGGCAUAAAAAAUCUAGGAAAAACUUCAAAAAUCCCCCCUGUGAUUUCGUAGUUUCUCACUUUGCCUUCCUAUGGUUUAAAAUGUAUCAAUUUGCUCCUCUGUGGUUUCGUUUUUCUCUUUUUCUUAUCAAUUUCAUUAUUUUUUUUUUUAAAUCAGUGAUAAAGUUAAAAUUAAAGGGUAUUAAAGUGAAUAUUUGAUAAAUCUAGAUGGGUAUCUAAAGUUUUUUUAUAUAUAAUUUAAUAAAAUAUUAACGAAAAAGCUACCCAAAAGAUAAAAACAAAACCACAGGGAGGCAAUUUGAUACAUUUUAAACCACGGGGGCCAAAGUGAGAAACUAUGAAACCACAGGAGGGUUUUUUGAAGUUUUCCCAAAAAUUUAUUAGUUUUGAACUUUUACAAAAAUAGGCCUUUUUUUUUAAUUUUGCAAAUUCGAAUCGAAUUUUCAAAAAAUGACCAAACUACCCCUCUAUCAAAUUGUAUAAAAAUUAUAUGCUUUAAAUUCCUAAAAAAAUACAACUGCUAAACCAUUAAAUAUCAAAUUUUCUGAAAAUAACAACUGCUAAGCCAUAAUUAGAUGUAUCUUUUUCGUAAAACGAGAAUCCUCAUUCAAGAUAAAAUAAAAAAAAAUAAAAUAUAAUUAGUAAGAUGAAAGACUGCAACAUCCUCUCAAAUAGUAUAACAUGCUCUUCCAAAUAUGGUGCAUAUUUUACACUAUUUGUACAGAUAUUUACACCAUUUAUAUAAAUAUUGCACUAUUAUGAGAGGAUGUUGCACAAUUUUGAUGUGUGUUGCACUCUUUCUUUUUAAAAAUUAAAUGCUAUUGCAUAUUAAAUAAAGUUUUAAAUUUUCGGAUCGAAUUUUCAAAAAGAUGACAAAACUACUCCUCUAUCAAAAUGCAUAAAAAUUAUAUAUACCUUUUUCGUGAAACGAGAAUCCUCAUUCAAGACAAAAUAAAAAUAAUAAAGUAUAAUUAAUAAAACGAAAGACUGCAAUAUCCUCUCAAAUAGUGUAACAUACUCUUCCAAAUAAUACAAUAUCUAUAUAAGUAGUGCAAUAUAUGCAUUAUUAAUACACAUUUUGCGUGAUUUUUACACUAAAUUAUGUAUAGUUUAGUAUAUUACGCAAAAAUAAUAUAAUAUAUUACAAUUUGCUAUAAAAGUAAUACAAUAUAUGUAUAAAUAGUGCAUAUUUUACACUAUUUGUACAGAUAUUUAUACCAUUUGUGUAAAUGUAGCACUAUAUUAUGAGAGGAUGUUGCACAAUUUAGAUGUGUGUUAUACUAUUUCUUUUUAAAAAUUAAAUGUUAUUGCAUAUUAAAUAAAAUUUUAAAUUUUUUGAAGUUGUCACAAUAUCUAUAUAAAUAAUGCAACAUAUGCAUUGUUUAUACACAUUUUGCAUGAUUUUUAUACUAAAUUAUGUAUAGUUUAAUAUAUUACGCGAAAAUAAUAUAUUAUAUAUUACAAUAUACUAUAAAAAUAAACAAUAUAUGUAUUAAUGAUGCAUAUUUUACACUAUUUGUACAGAUAUUUACACCAUUUGUGUAAUGUUGCACUAUAUUAUGAGUGGAUGUUACACAAUUUAGAUAUGUGUUACACUCUUUCUUUUUAAAAAUUAAAUGUUAUUGCAUAUUAAAUAAAAUUUUAAAUUUCUUGAAAAUGACAACUUCUAAACCAUAAUUACAUAUACAUUUUUCGUGAAACGAGAAUUGUCAUUCAAAACAAAAUAAAAAGAAUAAAAUAUAAUUAAUAAUACGAAAGAGUGCAACAUCCUCUCAAAUAGUGCAACAUGCUCUUCCAAAUAAUACAAUAUCUAUAUAAGUAGUGUAACAUAUAUAUACAUUGUUAAUACAUAUUUUACAUGAUUUUUAUACUAAAUAAUGUAUAGUUUAACAUAUAUAUACAUUGUUAAUACACAUUUUACAGAGUCUCCCCUAUACGUCCAAGGCAUCACAAUACAUACAAAGCGCGAGGUUCCAACCAGGAACAAUAUUCAAACAAGGAUUGCAUAAGGAAGUAUCAAAAACAUAAAUACAGCUAAGUUAUUACAAUCAUUCAACUCACAUUCUAUAUUUUACAUCACAUUUUACAUUCUUUAAGUCUCUUUUUAUCUUCCAAAUACAAUCAAGUUUCCAACAUAAUUAUUACAACAUUGAUCAUUUCAUUCCUAUACCCCUAAACUAAGCCGACUUAGGGUACUGCUAUCUCUGGUCUCGAUGGUAGUGCGCUAACUACGGAGCUACGCCCUUUCCUCGCGUCGCUGCGCCGCUCACGUGUGACCCCCAAAAACAACACGGGGGUGAGAACUAUUGUCCAUAGUUUCCAGUGGGUACGGCCACCCAAGGGAAAAGCUUGACCCACCAGGUCCAAAGGAGGCACUGCAAACAUGUUAGUCCAACAGAUAUCCACAGAUAAUAUUUAUGCAAAUAUU